GGAUCAAACCCCAAGAGAGACCCUUCUGUAAUUCCCAUGCUGAGCUGAAUUCAGGAGCUGUUCAAGAAGGUGCUGCCCCAUCAGUGCCUGGGCUCCAUCUGGUCCACGAGGAACAAGCCUGGAAAUGAGUACUUGGCAUUCACAGGUGGUCCAGGCCACCAUCACCUGGUUCAAUGGAGUGGCCAGCUGCAUUAUCACCACUUGCCUUGGUAACCCAAGCAUGACAGCCAGGGACAGGGCUGUGGUCAUGGCGCACUGGAUCAAGAGGGCAAGGCCUGUCAUGUCUUGGGGAACUAUUCCUCCCUGCGUGCCAUCCUCUCAGUUCUGCAGAGUUACUCCAUACACUGCCUGAAGA